AUACGGAGGAUCCGAGCGUUAUCCGGAUUUAUUGGGCGUAAAGCGAGCGCAGGCGGUUUCUUAAGUCUGAUGUGAAAGCCCCCGGCUCAACCGGGGAGGGGCAUUGGAAACUGGGGGACUUGAGUGCAGAAGAGGAGAGUGGAAUUCCAUGUGUAGCGGUGAAAUGCGUAGAUAUAUGGAGGAACACCAGUGGCGAAGGCGGCUCUCUGGUCUGUAACUGACGCUGAGGCUCGAAAGCGUGGGGAGCAAACAGGAUUAGAUACCCUGGUAGUCCACGCCGUAAACGAUGAGUGCUAAGUGUUGGAGGGUUUCCGCCCUUCAGUGCUGCAGCUAACGCAUUAAGCACUCCGCCUGGGGAGUACGGCCGCAAGGCUGAAACUCAAAGGAAUCGACGGGG
rnacentral:rRNA from 1 species